AUUGAACGCUGGCGGCAGGCCUAACACAUGCAAGUCGAACGGUAACAGGAAGCAGCUUGCUGCUUUGCUGACGAGUGGCGGACGGGUGAGUAAUGUCUGGGAAACUGCCUGAUGGAGGGGGAUAACUACUGGAAACGGUAGCUAAUACCGCAUAACGUCGCAAGACCAAAGAGGGGGACCUUCGGGCCUCUUGCCAUCGGAUGUGCCCAGAUGGGAUUAGCUAGUAGGUGGGGUAACGGCUCACCUAGGCGACGAUCCCUAGCUGGUCUGAGAGGAUGACCAGCCACACUGGAACUGAGACACGGUCCAGACUCCUACGGGAGGCAGCAGUGGGGAAUAUUGCACAAUGGGCGCAAGCCUGAUGCAGCCAUGCCGCGUGUAUGAAGAAGGCCUUUCGGGUUGUAAAGUACUUUUCAGCGGGGAGGAAGGCGAUAAGGUUAAUAACCUUGUCGAUUGACGUUACCCGCAGAAGAAGCACCGCUAACU
rnacentral:rRNA from 1 species